rnacentral:lncRNA from 1 species
CGACUUGCCGGGUGUACAGUUCUUUUUCUUUUAUUAUCCCUAACUUUUGCCCGAACCUUUUCUCUUUUUUUUUUUGGUUCGCCGGGAUGCCCUUUUUUGCCUAGACUCUUUUAUUCUUUUUGUCCAGCGGGUCAAUUUAUGCGAAGUAUUUUCUAACCGCGUCCGCAUCUGCAGGGGAUGGAAAAUCCUCGCCACUCAUGGUCGUCAGGAACAAAG